rnacentral:rRNA from 1 species
GACGAACGCUGGCGGCGUGCUUAACACAUGCAAGUCGAACGGAAAGGCCCCUUUAGGGGUACUCGAGUGGCGCACGGGUGAGUAACACGUGAGUAACCUGCCCUUGACUUCGGGAUAACUUCAGGAAACUGGGGCUAAUACCGGAUAGGAAUCCUUGCUGCAUGGUGGGGGUUGGAAAGCUUCGGCGGUUUUGGAUGGACUCGCGGCUUAUCAGCUUGUUGGUGGGGUAGUGGCUUACCAAGGCUUUGACGGGUAGCCGGCCUGAGAGGGCGACCGGCCACAUUGGGACUGAGAUACGGCCCAGACUCCUACGGGAGGCAGCAGUGGGGAAUAUUGCACAAUGGGCGGAAGCCUGAUGCAGCAACGCCGCGUGCGGGAUGACGGCCUUCGGGUUGUAAACCGCUUUCAGCAGGGGCGAAGCUUGUGGUGACGGUACCUGCAGAAGAAGCACCGGCUAACUACGUG